rnacentral:rRNA from 1 species
CCUACGGGAGGCAGCAGUGGGGAAUAUUGCACAAUGGGGGAAACCCUGAUGCAGCGACGCCGCGUGAGUGAAGAAGUAAUUCGUUAUGUAAAGCUCUAUCAGCAGGGAAGAAAAUGACGGUACCUGAGUGAGUAGCGACGGAUAACUACGUGCCAGCAACCGCGGGAAUACGUUGGGGGCAAGCGGUAUGCGGAUUUACGGGGUGUAACGUGAGCGGAGACGGCAGUGCAAGGCUCGAGUGAAAGGCGGGGGGUCAAACCCCGGACCGCUCUGGAGACUGUACGGCGGGAGUGUGAGAGAGGUAAGUGGAAUUCCAAGUGAAGCGGUGAAAUGCGUAGAUAUUUGGAGGAACACCAGUGGCGAAGGCAGCUUACUGGACUGUAACUGACGUUGAGGCUCGAAAGCGUGGGGAGCAAACAGGAUUAGAUACCCCAGUAGUC